GUCUACGGCCAAACCACCCUGCAUGUGCCCCAUCUCGUCAGAUCUCGGAAGCUAAGCAGAGUCAGGCCGGGUUAGUCCUUGGAUGGGAGAAAGUGAAAGGAAUCCCAAUGACAACAGUUGUCU
ensembl:rRNA 5S_rRNA 5S ribosomal RNA